CAGUCGUACCUUCGGGUAAUCAGCCUUUCGAGUGCGAUUCUGUGGAGUGUGAGGAGCUAAACACCUUCAUGCCUGCAUAUUCGUGCUCUUGGGUGUACUUGCUCGUGUGGUUGGUUAACAUCAAUUUCGGACGCCAUAAAAUGGCUGGAGGAAUGUAGCUUCGAUCUCGUAUUGAAGUGUUAUAGCCUUCGGUAGAUGUGGUGAUCGAGAUUGAGGAUUGCAACGGAUACCCUUCGGGGCUACCUGUCUGGUCUCUGAUCGUUGCUCUGGUGCCGAAAGCUUGCUUACGGUUAUCAAAGUCGAUGGUCAAUAGGUUAGAAUGGGUUAAAUUCGUUAAGGAUGUUGACGUAAUGGCUUUAAACGACCGUCUUGAAACUACGGACCAAGGAGUACUAGCAUAUAUGCGAGUGUUU
rnacentral:rRNA from 1 species